CUUCCUUCAUGUUCAAGAUUUUAGGGUCAUUCUCUGGAUUUGGCUUACUUCUCUUUUCUUGUCUCUGCCAGAGCCCUUGGUUUGGUUAUUCUUGUCUGUCUCCCCCAUUCAUAUUCACCUCUUCCAACUAUUUACGACUUGGCUGGAUACACAUACAGUGGCAAUGCUUCCCGUACAACAUGAACUUCCAGCUGUACUUCCUCUGCAGUUUGAAGAUGUCUUCAAGCAUCACUUACGGACGCUCUCUCUCUCUUGCUGUCUACUUCUCGAUCUGCGAAGCUUCCACUGCUGCCCGGCUCGUUUUCCGAUAUUAUGUAUGUGGAUUCUGCAGAAAUGUAGGUAAGGGUCGGGAUUAUCAGUGUUCUAUUCGCCGGAUUUAAUUGCAUCAGUUGAAAUCCGACUAGUCCAACAGAAGAAGAGAAAUAGAAAAAACGU